rnacentral:rRNA from 1 species
UGGGAAACCUCGCAAGAGGUGACCGGCGAACGGGUGCGUAACACGUGAGCGACCUACCGAUUCGAGGGGGAUAGCCGGCCCAACGGCCGGGUAAUACCGCAUACGUCAGAUGGGCUGCAUGGCCUGUCUGGGAAACCUCCGGGGCGAAUCGAGGGGCUCGCGGCCUAUCAGCUAGUUGGCGGGGUAACGGCCCACCAAGGCGACGACGGGUAGCUGGUCUGAGAGGAUGGCCAGCCACAUUGGGACUGAGAAACGGCCCAGACUCCUACGGGAGGCAGCAGUGGGGAAUAUUGCGCAAUGGCCGCAAGGCUGACGCAGCGACGCCGCGUGUGGGAUGAAGCCCUUCGGGGUGUAAACCACUGUUGCUCGGGAAGAACGAGGGGAUUUAUCCCCUGUGACGGUACCGAGUGAGGAAGCACCGGCUAACUCCGUGCCAGCAGCCGCGGUAAUACGGAGGGUGCGAGCGUUGUCCGGAAUCACUGGGCGUAAAGGGCGCGUAGGCGGCUUGGUAAGGGGGCGGUGAAAGCCCGGGGCUCGACCCCGGGUCUGCCGGACCGACUGCCGAGCUUGAGCACACUA